UUAGGAGGCCUGGGGGUGUUGGGUUGGGGUUGGACUUGAUGAUCCUCGAGGUCUUUUCCAACCUUAAUGAUUCAAAUUCUAUGAAACCUGAGCUCCGCCUGCAUCACCCGGAGCAGAGCCACCCUUCCAGGACACGAGGGGCUGGGCUGUACCUGGAGCGGGGCGGUGGGCAGGAUGGGCAGGAUCAGGCCCAUUUCCCUCUCCAGCGGGGCCUUGCACUGAAGCAUCGCUUAUCCUGGCAGAGGAUUGGGGCCCCAUUGUGAGAUGUGGGCCCUGGCAUGGGACUGGGCUCCCUGCGUGGGACUGGGGUCCUGGCAUAGGACUGGGGGUCCAGCACGUGACAGCCCUGGGGUCUAACAGGCAGGUGCUUGGGGACUAAUCCCCCCUUCCCUGGCGCAUUCCCUUCCCCAGCCUCAGGGAAAGAGGAGCACGUGGGGAAGGGCUGGGAGAACUGGGGCAUUUGGGAUGUAACACCAAACUCUGCACCCCAUGGGUUUAAUUUAUUCCCUGGCUGUAUGGCCAGGCAGUGAGGGAACUUCUCCCUUUCAAAGCUUGUGCCCCAAGCCUGUGUUUAACCUCUAGACCCUUUAAAAUCCCAAAUGCUGCUUCUCUUUGCCCAGAAACAUUUUUAACUUAACCAUGGGGUUUUUUUGUUUUGCAUUGCAGGUGUCCCAGGGACCCACCUGAAGCCCCCUGGGACAGUGCACUGCUCUGUGCCCAUCCCAUGCCUGUAUCCUCGGGAUGCUGCGGUGGCAAAAACUCAGAGAAACAGCUGUGGUUUGCUUUGCCCUGGUUUCCCUAGAUGAGGGGAGCUCCUCUGAGAGGGGGACUGGAGAGAAUGAGGCAUGGGAGAGCCCCAAGGAUGGGGAGGUCAUUUUGCUUAAGGUUGUUUGCAAAGUUGCCACUGAGACCAGAAUUAACAAUUUCUCAAGCAAAGCAGAUUAGAAAAGCCACGGGAGAACCAUAAAUAAAUAAGCCAGCAAGAUAAUCCCCUCAUCUCCAGGGAAAUUAAGGGUUUAACAUUUACCCUGUGCCUCUUGGGGGGUUUUUCUGGAUUGCUGAGCUGAUGCUCCAUCCACACCACCAGAUACCAGAGGAGGCACGUCAUCGUUGAGCUCCUCUGGACGGGGCUGCUUUUCAUGCCGCCCUUUUUGAAAUAAGGAAAGCGGUGGCCCACACGAGUCUGCAGGGGUGAGCUCGUCCUUCUGGAAACCUCUGGGUGUGUUGGGGUGGACAUGGGGGAUUUGGUCCAUUGCGCCUUCUCCUCCCGCCUCCCCAGCAGCAGUCAGAGUAGGUCCCAGCUCUUCGCAGGCCAGUCCAGCUGCCCAGCCCUGCUCUCCCUUUUACAGGUUCCAGUGGUGAACGAUGGCAUGACGUCUGUCCUCCAUCUGUCCCUCCCAAAUGCCUUGGGAUCUGCUGUCCUGGUGAGAGAUCUUGACACAGCCGUUGUCUCCCUUGGGUUGAGAGUGCUGCAACCUGCAGCAAUUCCCCCAAACCAAGACCAGUUUCAGGCAGACACCCGCACCUAGCAGAGCUGGUAAUAAUUUGUAACUUGUAGCUCAUGCUGACGUGGUGGCUAUGUGGGGAGAUGCAAGGAAAGGUGAAGCUAGAAGUCUGUAGCGCCUUGUUUGGGUCUGAUGGCAUGGCCUGUUGUCCCAGGUGUUGUCCACAGAGGUUGGAGGCACCUCUGGCGAUGCUCAAGCUCAACCGUUGCUCAAGCUCAACCAUUCCUCAAGCAGGGUCAGCUGGAGCAGGUUGCCCAGGACUGCGUCCAGCUGGGUUUCGAAUGAACUCAUGUGUCUGGUGAGGAAGGAAAGUGCUGGAGAAUGGAGCCGCUGCUCCCAGGGCCGGACCCAGUAAGCUCAGCUGUUAGCUAACCCAGAGCGAGACCACCGCGGCUUUAGCGGAACGAGCUGGGCCAUCAGCGACAGCCCAGGCUGGAUCUGCUCCUGGGACGUGGCUCUGUCCUUUGCUGAGGUCUCAGGUCUGCGGAGGGAAUCAGAGACACUGGUGAGGAUGGAGCUGACUGGGACGAUGCCAGGGGCUGUGCGAUGCUUCCUUGAAGCUGAACUCUGCCAAAAAUGUCUAUUUUUGGGGGUGGGGAGGCAUAAAAAAGAUCCACCUAUAGAUUGGGGGUGUUUCACAGACCAAAGGGUCUAAGUGGGGCUUGAGGAAGCUUCACCUCUAGCAACAGAGCUGGAGCAGAGCCCUCAGACUGACAGCACAGAGCUAGUUGAUGAAGAAAGGUCCUGAUGUGGUCUCCAAAGGGUGACAAUCUUGGCUUUCCAAGAUGCUCUCCCCUCUUCUUUCCAUUGGUCACAGGUCUGGGCACCCACCCCUUGCUGCCUGCCUCCUCCAAGAGGUGUGGGUCGAACAUCUCAUGCUCCUCUUCCCCCCUGACGCUGGCUGGAAAGUGUCAGCCUGGAGCUCAUGAUGGCAGCCGGAAUGCCGCUGGAAGUCAACAGGAUUCAAUCAGGCACACAAACAUCAAUCUCAGCAUCCGUCUAAGCUAUUCAGGGUCUUCUGAGAUAUCCUUUUCCCAGUGCUGGGAAUAAACUGGUCCAUGGUGGACCGUGGAGUCACCGCCAUCGGCUUCUACUGGAAGGACUCCGGGUGGUGUUGGUGGACCCAGGAGAAUCAGCCCACGCUUCCCUGCCUUGUACUCUCAACUCCCUUCAGUCUUCACGCCCUUGUAUCGGAGGGCGAAUCCUCCGCAGGAUGCUGAGAAGAUGAAGGCUAUUUCUGACAGCAGUCGGUGUCCACGGCAGCCUUCAUGAAUAUUGUUACAGCCUCUACCUGAAAAUCAUUAUAGAAAUAGCUGCAGGUCCUUCCUAUGACUGGGGAAACUUCAUUCUUACUCCUCGACAUCCUAGGAAUCAGAAAGAAAAAAAAGUGGCUCUGUGCAGUGGGCUCCGCUGUCCCGUUCUCCGCGUCUCACAUGCAGAGGUAUGUCCAUGUCCCAGUCGCAGGCUGGGGUUAUGAAUCGGGGAAGUUCUACCAUGUGGAUGAAGUCCGGCUGGUCGCCAGCAUCCCUUCCCCUGCUUCUCCAUUUGCGGCACGCGCUUGUGUUAUUUAUUAAAGGGUUUCUUCGUGUGUCUGU